rnacentral:guide_RNA from 1 species
ACAUAUCACUCACUACAUAUAAGCCGUAGAUAUAGAUUAAUUAAGUGAGAUAUGU